GUCAAAAUUAACUCUGAUGGAGCAGUUUCACGCUUUGGAGAGAAAGGUGGUGGAGGGGCAGUGUUGAGGAACCAUCACGGAGCUUUUCUGGGAGCAGCCUGUCAGUUCUUCCCACACAACGUUGAUCCAGAAGCUGUGGAGGUUCUUGCUUGCCGGAGAGCGGUUCAGUUGGCAAUCGCAACACAUGCUACGAAAGUACAUGUGGAGCUGGACAAUAACACGGUGGUGCACAUGCUCAAUCAGCAAACAAGGAACCUUUCUGCAGUAGGGCCUUGGAUACAGGAGAUCAAAGAGAUGCUCAACUCGUUCGCCGAGUUUAGAGUUGAGUGGAUUAGGCGUUCUGGGAAUAUUGCCGCGCAUAAAUUAGCUAAAGUAGGUGUAGGAGAAGAGAGGUGUGACGUUUGGGUGGGAUCACCACCAGACUUUAUUUUAGAUGUAAUUUCGGAUGAGAUUCCAGACUUGGUUUGA
rnacentral:rRNA from 1 species